AACGAACGCUGGCGGCGUGGAUAAGACAUGCAAGUCGAGCGAGAUUUUUUCUUGUAGCAAUACAGGGAAAAGUCUAGCGGCGAACGGGUGCUUAACACGUGGGCAACCUGCCGUGAAGUGGGGGAUAGCUCGCCGAAAGGCGAAUUAAUACCGCAUGUGAUUAGAGAGGACAUCCUUUCGAAAUUAAAGUCGGGGCAACCUGACGCUUCUUGUGGGGCCCGCGGCCUAUCAGCUAGUUGGUGAGGUAACGGCUCACCAAGGCUUUGACGGGUAGCUGGUCUGAGAGGACGACCAGCCACACUGGGACUGAGACACGGCCCAGACACCUACGGGUGGCAGCAGUCGAGAAUUUUUGACAAUGGGGGAAACCCUGAUCGAGCGACGCCGCGUGGAGGAUGAAGGUCUUCGGAUUGUAAACUCCUGUCAUUGGGGAACAAGGUGCAUACGUUAACUGCGUGUGCAUUGAUAGUACCCGAAGAGGAAGAGACGGCUAACUCUGUGC
rnacentral:rRNA from 1 species